GAUGAAGAACGCAGCGAAAUGCGAUAAGUAGUGUGAAUUGCAGAAUUCAGUGAAUCAUCGAAUCUUUGAACGCCCAUUGCGCCCUUUGGUAUUCCUUAGGGCAUGCCUGUUCGAGCGUCAUUUAAAAAUUCAAGCUCAGCUUGGUGAUGGGUGCCUGUCCCACCUUUGCGUGCGGACUCGCCUCAAAUGCAGUUGGCAGCUUAUCCUCCGGCUCUAAACGCAGCAGAUUUGCGUCGAAGCGCCGUCGGGACGGGCUCUCCAGUAAGCAAACCCCCCCAAGAUUGACCUCGGAUCAGGCAGGGAUACCCGCUGAACUUAAGCAUAUCAAUAAGCGGAGGA
rnacentral:misc_RNA from 1 species